rnacentral:rRNA from 1 species
UUGGAGGGCAAGUCUGGUGCCAGCAGCCGCGGUAAUUCCAGCUCCAAUAGCGUAUAUUAAAGUUGUUGCAGUUAAAAAGCUCGUAGUUGAAUUUCGGGAUCAAUGUUUCGGUCAUGCCGUUGGUAUGUACUGAUAUUAUUGAUUUCUCACCUUCUAAAGAACCGUAAUGCCAUUAAUUUGGUGUCACGGGGAAUUAGGACUGUUACCUUGAAAAAACUUAGAGUGUUUAAAGCAGGCUCACGCUUGAAUACAUUAGCAUGGAAUAAUGAAA